ACCUGGUGAACUGAAACAUCUAAGUAACCAGAGGAAAAGAAAACAAAAGUGAUUCCCCCAGUAGCGGCGAGCGAAAAGGGAAUAGCCCAAACCAUAAAUGUUUCGGCAUAUGUGGGGUUGUAGGACUGCAAUGUGGACUGUUAAUUUAUAGUGGAAUAAUCUGGAAAGUUUAAUCAUAGAAGGUGAGAAUCCUGUACACGAAAUAAUUUAACUACCUAGCAGUAUCCUGAGUAGGGCGGAACACGUGAAAUUCUGUCUGAAUCUACCAGGACCAUCUGGUAAGGCUAAAUACUACUGAGAGACCGAUAGCGAACAAGUACCGUGAGGGAAAGGUGAAAAGUACCCUGAACAAGGGAGUGAAAUAGUUCCUGAAACCAUACGCUUACAAGCUGUA
rnacentral:rRNA from 1 species